UUAGACGCAUGUUGAUCAUCGGCUGGUCAACCUCUUUCUACUUUUGUUCUCUUUUUUCCCUUGUUAUUUCAUUUUUCUUUGUUCCUUUUCUCGACUUCUCCCACUCUUUCGUAUCACUUUCUGCCACUUUUGAACCCUUGGUGCCUUUUCUUUUGCUGAUCUUUGUCUUUGCCAGUGUGGAGUCACUUUGCUGGGGAAAAAUUCGUCCGCCGAUGUACCUUAUUUGGGUUGGUGGGUUGGGUUCUAUGGAUCUUGAACUUGCAAAACCUAAAUUCUCCUGGAGAUUAGCUUGGCCAAGUAAUUCAUAUGAUUCCAUGGUGAGGAAUAGCUUGACUUCCUAUCUCAACUUGCGGAAUUGGUUGGGUGACACUUAACAAUUGUAUUUUCUUCCUAUAUUUGCUUAUGGUGGAUUGUCCUGGUCCUGGUGGAUACACCCGCUGCUUUCCUUUUCACCCUGACCUCUACUACAAUCCUAUCACCUCCCAUUUCCUCUGAUUCUGACGUCAUUCUUUUUCUAUAUUCUACAGGUUUUUUAAAGUUUAUUUGGUUGCUGGAAAAAAACUGAGAAAUGAAGAGCUUCAGAGUUUGAUCAUUUGUGCCUCAAAUUUGAGAACUCAAUUUCAAUUAGAGAAAGAGGAAGAGAAGCGUAGAAGUUUGCCUACUACUUCUCUAUUUCAUCGCUUAGUGCUCAAAGAAAGAGGUAGCAGCCAUCGAUCAAAUUCGAGUUCAAAUAUGAGUUCAUACCUAAGUUCAAAUCUUAUUUUUGAGCCUUUGUUUCGCCGGUAAUCAGGUAAAACUCAAAUAUUUCCUACAUAUCUUAAUUUUGGAUUAGUCUCUAUAUCUACAUACAUACAUGGAACAAAUAUUCACUGGUCAUUUACAAUGACGAUCAAUUAGUGUAGUUCAUGGAUAUAAUGGAUAUUGACAAAGGCUCAAACUGCAAUUAAAUGGUUAAAUGGAAACCGUGAAGCUCACCCCUAUUGCUGAAUUACGUCCCUACACUAAAGCAGACAAAAUAAAGAUUCGUGUGUGUAGGGUAUGGAAAUCAAGCAUUCCUGCAAGUGGUCAAAAAUACGUGACAUUCCACUGUAUCUUAGUUAAUGAAACAAACAAUGCAGUUGAAGUUUCUGCAUCAGACAUUGAUUAUGAAGUUGUUGCCUCAAAGAUUCAGGCUGGUGAUUGCUGCGAAGUCAUGAAUUUUCAAACAAUUAAGAUCAGAGGGCAGUAUAAAGUCGUGCCACAUGAUACCCAGCUUAUAUUCACUGCUAAAACAGUGUUUAGAAAACUAUAUGCCGUCUAUCCACCGAUUCCGUGACAUCAAUUUUUUCUAAUGGAUGAUAUUCUUACAGGUAAUAUUAAAACAUAUUUAUUUGUCUACAUGUGUGUCUCUACAUGUCUAUUAAUUGAAAACAUUUCUGUUUUUUUUUUAAAUCAAAUGAGUUAUGGCAUAGUUUUUGCGCUAACUUUUUAAAUUGUAAGAUGUAAUUGACCAUCUGACUGCGGUCCAGCACUUGAAACCAAAACAAAUUAAUCAAAGAACAGCCUAGAAGUGUGAUAUACGCAUUGAGAAUAUCAGGUUAUUCUUUUGUCUUAGUACUGCAGUUCUAAAUUAUUAACAUUUCAUUUGUUACGGUGGAAAAAAAAAAAAAUUCAUCUUUGUUUUUUAUUUGUUUUCUAUACAAAAAAUAAGAGUUGUCUGUUACAUUGUGGGGAGAUGUUGAGGAAACUUUUUCUUUUUUAUCGGUCCACACAAUGUCUUUGCCCAUUAUCGUUGUAUUUACAAGUUUAAAAGUCAAGCUUUAUCUAGGUAACUGAUUUAACUGAAGCUCAUUUUUUCUUUUUUUAUUACAGUAGUUGCUAUACACUAUUCUAGUAUUUUAUCAUUAUUGAAUUUUAGUGUAUUACAUUAUUGUCCUUUAUGACAAAGCAUUUGUUUUGUUUAUUAUAUGUUGGUUACCAAGUAUUUCAAUCUAUUCAUUACGAUUUGUGUUUCGUUUUUAGCCAUGCAUCUUCAAAUUAUUUUUCCACGCUCUUAAACCUAUUGAUUAUAAUUUUUCUUGCACUUUUAAACAUCUAUCAUCAAAUAGAAAAUAUUUACUCAUGUUUGUUUUAUCAUUUGUUAUUAUUUUUGGGAUCUCCAAAUAAGCUCGUCUUGAAUAGUACUGGUUCCUCACUUUUUUUCAUUGACCCGGACAUCCUAGAGGUUUACUCAUACAAAUCAAUGUGAGUGGACAUCUAUAAUUGUGCUUCCUAUUUCUACCUACAAAGAAACUUAUUUUUCAAACUUGGUUACUUUUUUUUUAUACUUACUGCUACCUUCUUCAAGAUAAGUGAAUGAGACUGAAGUUUUGUGUACUGCAAAAAGAGUGACAAUAGAUAAGCUGGUUUUUUUAGAUCCUGAUCUAUAUAAGGCAUCAGUCAAACGUUUUGACACACGUUAUAAUCGGUGGUAUAAUGCUUGACCAAAUUGUGUCAAGCAAAUGCAAAAAGAUCCAACAACUGGGCAACUCAUUUGUCAAAAACACCCUAGCCAGAUACCAACACCUUGGUAUAAAGUUAAUUUAAUUCUUGAAGAUAGCACUAAAGAAAUCAAUGCCUUGAUAAUUGGCAAGUCUGGAGAAAAACUGUUUGGUAUGCCUUGCAAAGAUUUAGUCUUGAACCAAAGAUUGAUUGACCAACAGUAGUUGCCCAAUGAGUUUUUGAGAUUGAUUGAUCAAAAGAAGAUCUUUCACUUGUGAUUUGGAAAUUGAAGGAAUAGUUUCAACUCAAGCGAUUUGCUAAUUUUUAAUGUCUCUAAGGAUUCAGCUAUCAAACCAAUAAUCUCACAAAUGCUAGCAAGAGAAAGCACAAUAUCAUCCACUACUGUAUCAUCUUCGAUCUUACCACCUGAAACAAGCGAUCAAUCACAUAAAUGAAAGAGGGAAUCUGUGAGAAUAUACCUUUUUAGUGGCAGUGAACAGAGGUUUGCAUUCGAUGUCCAUGCUUUCAUCAAAUCUGAUGCUUUCUUUUUGCUUCUGUGUCUUCAAAAAUUUAUAUCUUCUACUAAUCUUCCUUUGUUUGAAGUAUACCUCUUAGACAUCUUUUUUUUUAAAAGAAAAAUUUUCCAAAUGAACAAUACAAUUAAUUACGUUUAGGCAACAUUUUCUCUUUUUUGUUCAAUCAAAUGUACUCAUUUGAUAUACACAUUUAAAACAGUGAAGCAGAAGAAGUUUCAGAAGUUGACCCAAAUGAAUUUGAUGAAAUCCCUGUGAAAUCACUGAAAAAAAAAAAAUUCGCAUCCGGCUCUUGCAAAAACAGAUACCAUCGUUUCAAAAAAGGACUAAGUAUGCAUUCAUUUUGGUCAAUUUUUUCCUUCACAUCUGCAUCACUAUAACUCUAACCACUAUUUAAAUGCUUUUCAUUUUUUUUUCUGUCUGUACAACUUAGUUUGUCAAUGUUAACAGUCAUGAAACUGCUGCAACAACACUUUUCCUGUUCUGUUGAAGGAUAUUUUGCAUUUUUUUGCUGCCAUAUCUUCCAACAAUAUUUCCCAGACCUCCAUAUACCAGCAUUUGUUAAUUUUUUGUGUACAGAAGCUAGUUUAGUUUUUAGGACAUAUGGAACUAUUAAGGCAUCAUAUAUAACUGUCAUAUUUUUUGUAUCUCUAAGUGAAAGUAUAUGCUCAUUUUUGUAUGUAAAUAUGAUGGUGCUGAUCCAAACAUAGUUCUAACUGCUAUAAUGCAAUUGAAAACUUUUAUGUU